GGAAGUGUGGUUAGAGCAGCCUAGUGCAAAGCCCUCCAGCCUGUUCCUUGGUUUAUCACCCUAGGGUUGGGGAUGGGGCCUACUAGGUGCUCUGACCAUUCCAGUUUCCCCUCCAUGCUCAGCUCAAGACCCCAAGGGGGCGCUAUCUCAUGGCUUCUGGAAAGGAAGUCAAGUUUCUUCUCCUCACAGCCCAAGUAGGGGAUGGGCUCAGAGCAGUCCUAGAAAAGUUGCCUGCCCCUCUCCAACCUCAGUUUCCCCUCUGGAGGGGAGGAGCGCUCAGUGCUGCUCCCUCUGAGGAGGGCCGAAGAGAGCCUCAGUUUACCCCUCCAGCCCAACGUCUGGGGUCCGGGCCCGGCGCUGAGUCCCGGUAUUCUGCAGGAGGGGGGGCGUGGCCCUGCCUGGGCGGCCCCCUGACAUCAGUGGUGACGGACUCCAGCCUCCGCGACAAGGCCAGCCACUGGGGCUAUAAAGGCAGCCCCUCGCCGGCCCCCAGGCACUUUGCCCGUGGGCAGGUGAAUGCCGCAGAAGGACCUGGAGAGGUUGGAAGGCAGAGGAAGACUAGCUGCUCCCUCUCUCGGGGGCGGGGCCCAUGGGUAUUGUCAAUCUCUGGGUCUAACCCCACCUUCUGGGUCUUGCGUCAACGCUCGCGAGGCCCCGCCUCAUCCGCUGUCCAUUGGUCCAUAGCAGGAUGGGCUCCGCCCCCUAACCAAUCACAGUCUUUGGCGCCAGAAUUCGAACUGAUGUUUUGACUUGAAUUCCAACGCCAGGUCUGGGAUUACUUUUCGUCGGCUCUCAGUUUUGGGGUCGGGAGCGCGAUGCUUCAAUCCUGACCCUCAAUCUCGGCCCCUGAUCCUCAGGCGCCUAGGAGGCCCGAGCUACGGGAAAUUGCUGGUGGGGCAGGGGGGUUGGUAUGUGCCACGGGAGGGGACGCGGAAGGAUCCGGUGCUUCGUGGUGUAGUAGCGGCGGAGGGACACAUGGGACUGAAGCAAGAGUGACAGCUGGGGGCAGUGGGAGGCAGAGGGAAGCAGAGGGAGGAGGAGGGGGAAAGAGAGGAAUACACGUCAAACUGACCUGGGUCCGAGGAGGAUCGACUGGUGGAGCGAGCGGCCGCGGACCGCGGGGAGGACAUGAGGCAGAUUUUUAUUCUAUUGUGAAAGUGAAUACUUUUGGAUAUAUUAUUCUUAUUAAAAGGACUUCAAGGACUCUAGUUUCCUGUAUCCCCCACCUCCCUGCAUUGUGAUCUCGGAGGCUGGCCCCCCUGCGGGAGGCCCCUUGUGAGACUUCACAGGGCCUCUCCUUGAGCCCAGGCUCCUACUUUUGCCCAGAUCAUUUCUGGCUGACAGGCCCUGGAGCAGUUCCAUCUUCCGGGCAGAAUAAGGUUUUAUUCUAGUUCGUAAAAUGAAUACUUUUGGAUAUAUUAUUGUUAUUAAAAAGUCAGGGGGCUGAUGGUUUCCGGUAUCCAUUAAACAAAACUGCUUGUUAUUUUGGAAGGGAUACUGAAUGCGAUAUCCAGCUUCAGCUUCCAGUAGUACCCAAGCAGCAAUGCAAGAUUGAAUUUAAUCUACAACUUAAGGA